rnacentral:rRNA from 1 species
UACGGGGGGAGCAAGCGUUGUUCGGAUUUACUGGGCGUAAAGGGCGCGUAGGCGGCCAGCGCAAGUCAGUUGUGAAAUCUCCGGGCUUAACUCGGAACGGUCAACUGAUACUGCGCGGCUAGAGUGCGGAAGGGGCAACUGGAAUUCUCGGUGUAGCGGUGAAAUGCGUAGAUAUUGGGAAGAACACCAGUGGCGUAAGCGACUUGCUGGGCCGUAACUGACGCUGAGGAACGAAAGCCAGGGUAGCGAAUGGG